rfam:Alligator sinensis unplaced genomic scaffold scaffold116_1, whole genome shotgun sequence
GUUCAAUGAUGAAUUUUGCUGUUCAACUGCUGGGUGAUUCAAAAUGAACUAAACUUGUAAUUCUGAAAUGA